rnacentral:rRNA from 1 species
UACGUAGGGUGCAAGCGUUGUCCGGAAUUAUUGGGCGUAAAGAGCUCGUAGGCGGUCUGUCGCGUCUGCUGUGAAAACUCAGGGCUUAACCCUGAGCUUGCAGUGGGUACGGGCAGACUAGAGUGCGGUAGGGGAGACUGGAAUUCCUGGUGUAGCGGUGAAAUGCGCAGAUAUCAGGAGGAACACCGGUGGCGAAGGCGGGUCUCUGGGCCGAUACUGACGCUGGAGGAGCGAAAGCCGUGGGGAGCGAACAGG